rnacentral:rRNA from 1 species
UACGUAGGGUGCAAGCGUUGUCCGGAAUUAUUGGGCGUAAAGAGCUCGUAGGCGGUUUGUCGCGUCUGCUGUGAAAACGCGAGGCUCAACCUCGCGCCUGCAGUGGGUACGGGCAAACUAGAGUGCGGUAGGGGAGAUUGGAAUUCCUGGUGUAGCGGUGGAAUGCGCAGAUAUCAGGAGGAACACCGAUGGCGAAGGCAGAUCUCUGGGCCGUAACUGACGCUGAGGAGCGAAAGCGUGGGGAGCGAAC